GCUUGUCGUGUAAAAUGCAUUUCAGAUUCUGGGUUCUUCAUACGAGCGUAAGAUUCAACUGAAAACUUAUAAAUCUUGAAUUGAUGUUUGUUUUUCUACACUUACUAUUUUUUUUUAUGUUGGAACCAAUAGGGAACAUCUCCGUGGAGCUCAGGACAAUAUCAUAUACAAAUUUCGCAACACAGUUUUAUUUCAUUUAAGGAUUUUUGUGUAUUUGAGAAUAAUUAACAUUUUCACUAUCAAUAUUUUAUAUAGAGUAUUUACCAUUUUAAAGUUUCUAUCUCACAUAUAAACAUUAUCUAAUCAACAACAUUUUUUUCUCCAGGAAUUAGCAGAAUUUCUGCCAAAGUCCUGCACACAGAGACAUGCUCCAGAAUUGUGUUUUCUCCCAGAAAAUGUGGUAAAUGAUAUUCAGACGCCGCUGUUUCUGUUAAACUCUGAUUUUGACCGAUAUCAAUUAGGGGUGCAUGUAUUACCAAAUUCGUCUAUUGAAGUAGGCUGGAGAGAUUGCUUGAAAAAUGAUAGCAGUCUCCCAGGUUGCACAAAAAAUAACAUUCUUCCAUGUUGCAUGGACAAUCAACUACAACUCAUGAUGGAUUUUCAGACUACAUUUCUGAAAACAUUGGAGAAACUAGAUGAUAAUCCAUCAAGAGGAUUAUUCAUCACUUCGUGCUAUGUCCAUGAUUUUUUUUACAA